ACUGUGAUACAUUUUACUUUUCAGGAUUUUUUGAUGAGGAGAACGUUCAAAAGAACAGCAUUGGUUUCUGAAAUCUUUUGUAACAUUAUAAAUGUCUUUACUGUCACUUUUGAUCAAUUGAAUAUCAGUUAAAUUCUCUUUAAACAAAAUGAAUCAUACUGACCUCAAACCUUUGAACAGUCUUUGCUGUUCGUCUGCGUCACUUACAGUAGUGAAGCGUUUCUCUCAGCAAAGCCAAUUUUCACUUGCAUGUAUUAAUGUUGGAUUCUGCUUGUUUGUCAGAGAGAGCCAAGAGGUUUGUUUCUGUGAAAUGUAUGUACGGUCAAUUAUCUGUAGUGUUCUGAUAAACGCACAGAGAUUGCGAUUA